UACGUAGGGGGCAAGCGUUGUCCGGAAUCAUUGGGCGUAAAGAGCGUGUAGGCGGCCAGAUAAGUCCGCUGUGAAAUCUCGAGGCUCAACUUCGAGCUGUCGGUGGAAACUGUCUGGCUAGAGUCCGGAAGAGGAGAAUGGAAUUCCUGGUGUAGCGGUGAAAUGCGCAGAUAUCAGGAAGAACACCCGUGGCGAAGGCGGUUCUCUGGGACGGUACUGACGCUGAGACGCGAAAGCGUGGGGAGCGAACAGGAUUAGAAACC
rnacentral:rRNA from 1 species